GACGAACGCUGGCGGCGUGCUUAACACAUGCAAGUCGAACGGAAAGGCCCUGCUUUUGUGGGGUGCUCGAGUGGCGAACGGGUGAGUAACACGUGAGUAACCUGCCCUUGACUUUGGGAUAACUUCAGGAAACUGGGGCUAAUACCGGAUAGGAGCUCCUGCUGCAUGGUGGGGGUUGGAAAGUUUCGGCGGUUGGGGAUGGACUCGCGGCUUAUCAGCUUGUUGGUGGGGUAGUGGCUUACCAAGGGUUUGACGGGUAGCCGGCCUGGGAGGGUGACCGGCGACAUUGGGACUGAGAUACGGCCCAGACGCCUACGGGAGGCAGCAGGGGGGAAUAUUGCACAAUGGGCGGAAGCCUGAUGCAGCAACGCCGCGUGCGGGAUGACGGCCUUCGGGUUGUAAACCGCUGUCGCCUGUGACGAAGCGUGAGUGACGGUAAUGGGUAAAGAAGCACCGGCUAACUACGUG
rnacentral:rRNA from 1 species